AACUUGCUUUUCUGGUUUGCGUGUUUGCAGAGUGUAAUUUGCAGCCUUCCACCAUGACAACAAAUAAUGGUUACCCAAUUGACAUCCAACCACAGAAAAAUGCAAGUAAUCCCGCCCCUCCUUUUAACCAGGGACCAGCCAUACCAGGCCAAGGUCAAGUGCCUGUGAUGCCAGUUCCACAAAGACCCGCUGGCUGCCCACCAGGACUGGAGUACCUGACCCAGAUUGAUCAACUUCUUGUACAGCAGAAACUCGAACUGGCAGAAGGUAAUGUUGUGAUG